rnacentral:rRNA from 1 species
AAACUCAAAGGAAUUGACGGGGACCCGCACAAGCGGUGGAUGAUGUGGUUUAAUUCGAUGCAACGCGAAAACCUUACCCACCUUUGACAUGUACGGAAUCCUUUAGAGAUAGAGGAGUGCUCGAAAGAGAGCCGUAACACAGGUGCUGCAUGGCUGUCGUCAGCUCGUGUCGUGAGAUGUUGGGUUAAGUCCCGCAACGAGCGCAACCCUUGUCAUUAGUUGCUACAUUCAGUUGGGCACUCUAAUGAGACUGCCGGUGACAAACCGGAGGAAGGUGGGGAUGACGUCAAGUCCUCAUGGCCCUUAUAGGUGGGGCUACACACGUCAUACAAUGGCUGGUACAGAGGGUUGCCAACCCGCGAGGGGGAGCCAAUCCCAUAAAGCCAGUCGUAGUCCGGAUCGCAGUCUGCAACUCGACUGCGUGAAGUCGGAAUCGCUAGUAAUCGCGGAUCAGAAUGUCGCGGUGAAUACGUUCCCGGGUCUUGUACACACCGCCCGUCACACCAUGGGAGCGGGUUCUGCCAGAAGUAGUUAGCCUAACCGCAAGGAGGGCGAUUACCACGGCAGGGUUCGUGACUGGGGUGAAGUCGUAACAAGGUAGCCGUAUCGGAAGGUGCGGCUGGAUCACCUCCUUUAUGAG